rnacentral:rRNA from 1 species
GACGAACGCUGGCGGCGUGCCUAAUACAUGCAAGUCGAGCGAGCGGAACUAACAGAUUUACUUCGGUAAUGACGUUAGGAAAGCGAGCGGCGGAUGGGUGAGUAACACGUGGGGAACCUGCCCCAUAGUCUGGGAUACCACCUGGAAACAGGUGCUAAUACCGGAUAAGAAAGCAGAUCGCAUGAUCAGCUUUUAAAAGGCGGCGUAAGCUGUCGCUAUGGGAUGGCCCCGCGGUGCAUUAGCUAGUUGGUAAGGUAAAGGCUUACCAAGGCGAUGAUGCAUAGCCGAGUUGAGAGACUGAUCGGCCACAUUGGGACUGAGACACGGCCCAAACUCCUACGGGUGGCAGCAGUAGGGAAUCUUCCACAAUGGACGCAAGUCCGAUGGAGCAACGCCGCGUGAGUGAAGAAGGUUUUCGGAUCGUAAAGCUCUGUUGUUGGUGAAGAAGGAUAGAGGUAGUAACUGGCCUUUAUUUGACGGUAAUCAACCAGAAAGUCACGGCUAACUACGUGCCAGCAGCCGCGGUAAUACGUAGGUGGCAAGCGUUGUCCGGAUUUAUUGGGCGUAAAGCGAGCGCAGGCGGAAGAAUAAGUCUGAUGUGAAAGCCCUCGGCUUAACCGAGGAACUGCAUCGGAAACUGUUUUUCUUGAGUGCAGAAGAGGAGAGUGGAACUCCAUGUGUAGCGGUGGAAUGCGUAGAUAUAUGGAAGAACACCAGUGGCGAAGGCGGCUCUCUGGUCUGCAACUGACGCUGAGGCUCGAAAGCAUGGGUAGCGAACAGG